GGAUUUGAACGGCGGGCAGGAAGUACUCGAGUAGGGAGUCUGGCCUAGUGAAAGUCUCUGUUUCCUCCUUUUCUUACUUUUCACUCAAUAAAACCCUGCUUUACACACCCUUCAAACCAUCUGUGAGCCUGAAUUUUUACGGCCAUGGGACAGACAAGGAUCCUGUCUUUAUCUAAACUAAGGAAAAGUCCUGCAACAUUUGUGGUGCACAACGUGGGGCUCGAGAAGUGAUCAUCCAAAGUCCAGCUACCACAAUAUGUCUGGAUUGAAUCUUAAGGAUUCUUCCUGUUAUUCAUGAAAACGCCUAUUUUGGAGUGAAACCAGGGCCGCCUUAUGAGCUAAACAGAGUGUGUUACAGCUUCAAUAGACUAAACAAGCUCUAAAUUUAUCUUCCUAUGGUCACGGGAUCUCAUAUAUUCUGGCUGUCAUUGUCAUAAUAAGCCACUCUUGGUCAUAUGGAAAAGCAUUCAGCUGCUCCCUGCCUUUGCUCACAGCGUGUGGUACUCUCUUAGAAGCUAUUCCUG
rnacentral:lncRNA from 10 species